rnacentral:rRNA from 1 species
CCGCUUUGAGAUGGCCUCGCGUCCGAUUAGCUAGUUGGUGAGGUAACGGCCCACCAAGGCGACGAUCGGUAGCCGGACUGAGAGGUUGAACGGCCACAUUGGGACUGAGACACGGCCCAGACUCCUACGGGAGGCAGCAGUGGGGAAUAUUGCACAAUGGGGGAAACCCUGAUGCAGCGACGCCGCGUGGAGGAAGAAGGUUUUCGGAUUGUAAACUCCUGUCGUUAGGGACGAUAAUGACGGUACCUAACAAGAAAGCACCGGCUAACUAC